rnacentral:rRNA from 1 species
UGGGGAAUAUUGCACAAUGGGCGCAAGCCUGAUGCAGCCAUGCCGCGUGUAUGAAGAAGGCCUUCGGGUUGUAAAGUACUUUCAGCGGGGAGGAAGGCGAUAAGGUUAAUAACCUUGUCGAUUGACGUUACCCGCAGAAGAAGCACCGGCUAACUCCGUGCCAGCAGCCGCGGUAAUACGGAGGGUGCAAGCGUUAAUCGGAAGUACUGGGCGUAAAGCGCACGCAGGCGGUCUGUCAAGUCGGAUGUGAAAUCCCCGGGCUCAACCUGGGAACUGCAUUCGAAACUGGCAGGCUAGAGUCUUGUAGAGGGGGGUAGAAUUCCAGGUGUAGCGGUGAAAUGCGUAGAGAUCUGGAGGAAUACCGGUGGCGAAGGCGGCCCCCUGGACAAAGACUGACGCUCAGGUGCGAAAGCGUGGGGAGCAAACA